rnacentral:rRNA from 1 species
AAUUCGAUGCAACGCGAAAACCUACCACUUCGACAUCGUACGGAACCCUUUAGAGAUAGAGGGGUGCUCGAAAGAGAGCCGUAACACAGGUGCUGCAUGGCUGUCGUCAGCUCGUGUCGUGAGAUGUUGGGUUAAGUCCGCAACGAGCGCAACCCUUGUCAUUAGUUGCUACAUUCAGUUGGGCACUCUAAUGAGACUGCCGGUGACAAGCCGGAGGAAGGUGGGGAUGACGUCAAGUCCUCAUGGCCCUUAUAGGUGGGGCUACACACGUCAUACAAUGGCUGGUACAAAGGGUUGCCAACCCGCGAGGGGGAGCCAAUCCCAUAAAGCCAGUCGUAGUCCGGAUCGUAGUCUGCAACUCGACUACGUGAAGUCGGAAUCGCUAGUAAUCGUGGAUCAGAAUGUCACGGUGAAUACGUUCCCGGGUCUU